CCCGAGCUAAUAUGGAGACCCAUCCCAAGUUUUGGUACUCGACCUGUAAUCCGACCCAGUCCGAGCCGAAAACCAGAGGGCAAACAAAUCCAGUAAUUUGGCAGCAGCGGCAGCGGCGGCGGCGAAGGAGAUCGCGCAAACCGAGCUCGGUAGCUGGCUAUCGGAUCUCGACCUGCUUCUCCUCUUUCUCCAUUGGGUACUCCUCUCCCCUGUCUCUCUCUCUUCUCGCAAGAUUUAAUCCCGUUUUCUAGGGUUCAGAUCUACCGUACUCUCCAUUCUUAGGGAUCCGAUCUUUCCAAUCCCCAACAUUCCCUCUUGCCUCUCAAUCCCCCAUUCGAGCAAUCCUUCAAUCGAAACCCAUAAAAAACCCCCAAGAAACCCUGAUGUCCUCCUAGGUCUCCCAAUUGACCUCUGGGCAUCCAGAUUCUGGCUCUGCCCAACCAGCCCUCAGGCCUUUCCAGAUCCCGAUUUCCUGAAAUGGGCCGUCCUCGCCUCCAGAAUUCCGCCAUCAACCCCAUCGAGGAGGAACCGGCGGCAGAGUCCCCCGAUGCCGCCGCCUCCUCGCCGGCCUGGGGCGGCGGCGGUCACCACGCCGCCCUCGCCUGCAUGAUCAACUCGGAGGUGAGCGCCGUCCUCGCCGUGAUGCGCCGCAACGUCCGAUGGGGCGGCCGUUAUGCCUCCGCGGCCGAUGACCACCAUCUGGAGCACUCCCUCGUCCAGUCCCUCAAGUCCCUCCGCCGGCAGGUCUUCUCCUGGGGGGACGCCCGCCGCCCCUGGUGCGCCGUCGACCCCUCGGCCUACCUUCGCCCGUUCCUCGACGUGAUCCGCUCCGACGAGACCGGCGCUCCCAUCACCAGCGUCGCGCUCUCAUCCAUCUACAAGAUCCUGACCCUCGAUGUGCUCGACCCGGGGGCUCCCGGUGCCGACGCUGCUGUCCACGCGGUCGUCGAUGCCGUCACGAGCUGCCGGUUCGAGGUGACCGACCCUGCCUCGGAGGAGGCUGUGCUGAUGAAGAUCCUGCAGGUGUUGCUCGCAUGCAUGAGGAGCCGGGCGUCGUCUCUGCUGAGCAACCAGCAUGUCUGCACGAUCGUGAACACGUGCUUCCGUGUCGUCCACCAAGCUGGUACCAAGGGGGAGCUGCUGCAGAGGUUCUCCCGCCACACGAUGCACGAGCUCAUCCGGUGCAUCUUCUCACACCUGCCUGAUGUUGGAGAUGGCACAGAGCCGCUUUCCAUCAGAUCAGAGAUCGGUGGGGUCGACAAGGAUCAGGCCUUCGGGAUCAAGCAGGUGGAGAAUGGAAAUGGCAGCGGGACUGUGAUGGGCUCGGGAGAUGAUAAUGCUUUAGGGGUGGAGGUGCCCAAUGGUGUGAGAAUCAUGGUGGAGCCUUACGGGAUUGCUUGCAUGGUAGAGAUUUUUCACUUCUUGUGCUCUCUUCUGAACAUUGGUGAACAAAUUGGAUUAAGUCCUAGGUCAAACACUAUUGCUUUUGAUGAGGAUGUGCCACUUUUUGCUCUUGGGUUGAUCAAUUCAGCCAUUGAGUUGGGAGGGCCUUCGAUAUGUAAGCACCGAAAACUGCUAGCUUUGAUACAGGAUGAGCUGUUCCGGAAUCUGAUGCAGUUCGGCCUGUCUAUGAGCCCACUGAUUCUUUCGAUGGUUUGUAGCAUUGUUCUGAAUCUUUACCAUCACUUGCGGACAGAACUGAAAUUGCAGCUCGAGGCAUUCUUCUCUUGUGUGAUCUUGAGGCUUGCACAGAGCCGGUAUGGGGCUAGCUACCAUCAGCAGGAGGUUGCCAUGGAGGCUCUUGUGGACUUCUGCAGGCAGAAGACUUUUAUGCCAGAGAUGUAUGCUAACUUUGACUGUGACAUAACUUGCACCAACGUGUUUGAAGAUCUUGCCAACCUUCUUUCAAAGAGUGCAUUCCCAGUGAACUGCCCAUUGUCGUCAAUGCAUGUUCUUGCCUUGGAUGGUCUGAUUGCAGUGAUUCAGGGAAUGGCUGAGAGAAUAGGCAAUGCACCUCCACGUUCAGAAGAACCAGUGGAGCUCAAGGAAUAUACUCCAUUUUGGACAGUCAAGUGUGAGAACUGUUCUGAUCCUGACCAUUUGGUUAAGUUUGUUAGGCGCAGGAAGUACAUCAAGAGGAGGCUAAUGAUUGGUGCUGAUCACUUCAACAGGGACCCAAAGAAGGGGUUGGAGUUUCUGCAAGGAACCCAUCUCUUGCCUGAGAAGCUUGAUCCUCAGAGUGUUGCAUGCUUUUUCAGAUACACAGCUGGCUUGGAUAAGAACCUUGUCGGGGAUUUCUUGGGCAACCAUGAUGAGUUUUGUGUUCAGGUGCUUCACGAAUUUGCUGGGACCUUUGAUUUCCAGGACAUGAAUCUAGACACUGCUUUGAGGCUCUUUCUGGAGACCUUCCGGCUGCCAGGUGAGUCACAGAAGAUACAGAGGGUUCUUGAGGCUUUCUCAGAGAGAUACUUUGAACAGUCACCGCAGAUUCUUGCCAACAAGGAUGCUGCCCUCCUGUUGUCAUACUCGCUUAUAAUGCUCAACACGGAUCAGCACAAUGUGCAGGUGAAGAAGAAGAUGACUGAAGAGGACUUCAUUCGGAACAACCGCCAUAUUAAUGAUGGCCAUGACCUCCCAAGGGAAUUCUUGUCAGAGCUCUACCACUCAAUUUGCAGGAAUGAGAUAAGAACCAUCCCAGACCAAGGUGUUGGUUUUCUUGAGAUGUCUCCCAGCCGUUGGAUUGACUUGAUGAGGAAGUCGAAGAAAACAUCUCCAUACAUUGUCUGUGAUUCUCGGCCAUACCUUGAUCAUGAUAUGUUUGCCAUCAUGUCGGGCCCCACCAUUGCUGCUAUAUCCGUGGUGUUUGAUUAUGCAGAACACGAAGAAGUUUUUCUAACAUGUGUAGAUGGCUUCUUGGCUGUCGCAAAGAUAUGUGCCUUCCAUCAUCUUGAAGAUGUAUUGGAUGAUCUAGUUGUGUCCCUCUGCAAAUUUACAACCCUUUUGAAUACAUCUUUGGUUGAGGAACCAGUUACAGCCUUUGGUGAUGACACAAAAGCUAGAUUGGCAGCAGAGACAGUUUUCACCAUAGCUAAUAGGUAUGGAGACCAUAUACGCACUGGCUGGAGAAAUAUACUGGAUUGCAUCUUAAGGAUGCACAAGCUAGGCCUUCUUCCUGCCCGUGUUGCAAGUGAUGCAUCUGAUGAUUCGGAAUUGCCUUUGGAUCCGAUUCAUGGAAAGCCUGCUCCCAGCUCACUUUCCACGUCUCAUGUUCCAGCUAUGGGUACCCCUCGUAGAUCCUCAGGGUUAAUGGGAAGGUUUAGCCAGCUUUUAUCUCUUGACACAGAAGAACCGAGAUCGCAGCCAACCGAACAGCAACUCGCUGCUCAUCAAAGAACUCUUCAAACAAUACAGAAGUGCCACAUAGACAGUAUAUUCACAGAGAGCAAGUUUUUACAGGCUGAUUCACUGUUGCAUCUUGCCAGGGCACUUAUUUGGGCAGCUGGUCGGCCUCAGAAGGUCACCAGCUCACCCGAUGAUGAAGACACAGCAGUUUUUUGCUUGGAGCUGCUAAUUGCCAUUACGCUGAACAACCGUGACAGAAUUGUGCUUCUCUGGCAGGGUGUUUAUGAGCACAUUGCCAAUAUAGUUCAGUCCACUGUGAUGCCAUGUGCACUUGUGGAGAAGGCAGUUUUUGGACUACUCCGCAUAUGCCAAAGGUUACUGCCCUACAAAGAGAAUCUGGCUGAUGAGCUCCUAAGGUCACUGCAGUUGGUUCUGAAGCUUGAUGCCCGUGUGGCAGAUGCUUAUUGCGAGAACAUCACACAAGAAGUUACACGCUUGGUGAAGGCAAAUGCUACCCAUAUAAAAUCUCAGAUGGGUUGGCGUACCAUCACAUCCUUGCUUUCCAUCACAGCUCGCCAUCCAGAGGCUUCAGAAGUAGGGUUUGAGGCAUUGGUGUUUAUCAUGUCUGACGGGGCUCAACUUACACCGGCCAACUUUAUUCUCUGUGUAGAAGCCUCAAGGCAGUUUGCAGAAUCUCGGGUUGGACUGACAGAUAGAUCUGUCCGUGCAUUGGAUCUGAUGGCGGAGUCCCUGAAUUCUUUAGUUCUCUGGUCCCGCGAGACUAGGGAAGCGGUUGAGGAUGCUGAGAGAAUAUCCGAAGGAAUCAAGGAGAUGUGGCUCAGGUUAGUGCAAGCACUGAGAAAAGUGUGCCUGGAUCAGAGAGAGGAAGUGAGGAAUCAUGCACUGUUGUCAUUGCAGAGAUGCCUGGUAGGAGCAGAAGGAAUUUCUCUCUCAUCCUCAUCUUGGACACAGGCUUUCGAUCCUGUUAUAUUCACAAUGAUGGAUGACUUGCUGGAGGUUGCUCAAAAUCAUUCACAGAAAGAUUACCGGAACAUGGAGGGAACCCUUUUGCAUGCCAUGAAGUUACUCUCCAAGGUCUUUUUGCAUCUAUUACAAGAACUCUAUGGACUGAGCACCUUCUGCAAGCUAUGGCUGGGAGUUCUUAGCUGGAUGGAGAAGUACAUGAAGGUUAAGGUGAGAGGCAAGAGGAGUGAGAAGCUGCAAGAAUUGAUUCCAGAACUCCUCAAAAACACAUUGCUUGUGAUGAAAACACGUGGGAUCCUUGCAAGGAAGAGCACGAUAGGUGGGGAUAGUUUGUGGGAGUUAACAUGGCUUCAUGUAAACAACAUCGCUCCAUCUUUGCAGUCAGAAGUGUUUGCAGGACAGGAAUUAGAGCAGGAGGUGCAUGCUAAGCAAAGGGAAUCUGGUACUCCUUUACAACCUGAUGGCAAUAGUUCUGGGUCACCAGCUGGGGCAUCAGCAGAUCAGUCUGGAGGCUGAGCUUUUGUUCGAUGAGUUUGAUUUGUACAAGACUAAUGAAAGUCUUCCAUGAAGCAAAAUUUAGUGGUCAUCUGCCACAAAUUAAAGAGGAAAUGGAUUGGUGCCCACCUAUUCAGCUGCCUAGCAACUAGGCUCUAGGCAGGCUCCUAGCUGCUUUUCUGGUGCCUACGAUCUUUUAAAAUAUUGCAACUAAUUUGACCUGAGUUAUCAUGUUGCUUCUGAAGAGUAGGUUUGGAUGAUAAUACUAGUGCACAAGCAUAAGUGGUCAAGUGCAAGCCAUGUUUUAUUGUGAACGACUCAUCUUAGAUCACAAUUGCAAAAUUCUGCUACCCUUAAGCUUGCAACUUCUGUGCAAGGCCUGGUCUCAGCAUUAUAUCCUCAUAUCAGUCAUUGCAGCAUUUGGUUAUCAACAUAAAAAGAGGCAUGACCCAUUCAGAACUUGAGAGAUCAAUUUACCGCAUGCUUUCCUGUGUUCCCACAUGGUUUAUAACUUUACCUCUACCUCAGAAACGAUUUAUUUCAUCUUUCUAGACUUAUGUGCUAACCUCUCAGCUGGUUCGUGAACUUGAUAAUAAGUGGGACACCGUCUUUUUCCAUUCGACAUUUCUAUCUUUCCAUACCAAAUUGUAAUGGAACGUGCAUCAUGUAUUGGUUGGACUGCCCCA